UAGGGAAUAUUGGUUAAUGUGCGGAAGCGCGAACCAGCAACGCCGCGUGUGCGAUGAAGGACUUCGGGUCGUAAAGCACUUUUUGCAGGGAAGAGGAAGGACGGUACCUGCAGAAUAAGUCUCGGCUAACUACGUGCCAGCAGCCGCGGUAAAACGUAGGAGACGAGCGUUAUCCGGAUUUACUGGGCGUAAAGCGCGUGCAGGCGGCAUGGCAAGUUGGAUGUGGUAGCUACCGGCUUAACUGGGAGAGGUCGUUCAAUACAUCCAGGCGUAUGAGUGGUAGAGGUACGCGGAAUUCCGAGUGUAGUGGUGAAAUGCGUAUAUAACCGGAGGAACACCAGUGGCGAAGGCGGCUUCCUGGCCCAUUUCUGACGCACAGACGCGAAAGCUAGGGUAGCAAACGG
rnacentral:rRNA from 1 species